rfam:Rhizobiales bacterium TMED227 109028, whole genome shotgun sequence.
CUAGAUGGCUGGAUGAUCGCUAUUACAUAGAGGAAAGUCCGGGCUCCACAGAGGAUCAGUGCCGAGUAACUCUCGGCGGAGGCAACUCUAGGGAAAGUGCAACAGAAAAUAUACCGCCAUAAUUAUGGUAAGGGUGAAAUGGUGUGGUAAGAGCGCACCGCAUUAGUGGUAACAUUAAUGGCAUUGUAAACCCCACUGGGAGCAAGACCAAAUAGAGAUAGUUUGUUUGUCCUUUGAAAUGCUAUCUGGGUAGGUCGCUAGAUUUAUAGGGUAACCUAUGAAUAAGAUGAAUGAUCAUCAUUUUACAGAACCCGGCUUAUAAGCCAUCUAGCAUA